rnacentral:rRNA from 1 species
UACGGAGGGGGCUAGCGUUGUUCGGAAUUACUGGGCGUAAAGCGCGCGUAGGCGGAUCUGCAAGUCGGGGGUGAAAUCCCGAGGCUCAACCUCGGAACUGCCUUCGAUACUGCGGGUCUCGAGUCCGGGAGAGGUGAGUGGAAUUCCUAGUGUAGAGGUGAAAUUCGUAGAUAUUAGGAAGAACACCAGUGGCGAAGGCGGCUCACUGGCCCGGUACUG